UGGCAGGCGUGACGUGCUGUGCUUUGCUGCCCUUGUCGUUUAAACGAUUUCUGAGGUCACAAAGGACUUGAGGGACACCUUUUACAUUCCCCAGCUCACAGCCUUUAGAAUCCGUUUCUACAGCCUCCAGGUGCUCCUGAGAAGCUCCCAGACGGACAGCAGCAGGUAAACUCCAGACCUUCCUCUCCUGCCCACAACCAUAUCCCAGGGGCAAAAUCACAUCCCCUGGGACAGGCCUGACUGCAUUUCAGAUGUAACGAAGUCUCCAGGAACCGAAGAAAUCAGGAAGACUGACAACUUGUGACUGCCUGCUAAUGACUUCACAACAAUUACUAUUUUUCUCUUUGUCCCCUUAAAAUCAGCAAGCCACCCAGCCUGGGCCUGGCUGCUGGCAUCUUCCUUCUCUUUUUUUUUGGGAGGCCACACCAUCUCUCUGCUCCCCCCACCUCAUUCUGUCUUCUAAAAGAUAAAAUAAACUUUUAACUUUGAUAUAUCUUAA